UAGGACCCUAUAUGUACUGUUGAUGAAGUUAGGUGCUGUUCUGAGCAUUAUUUGUGGCUAUAGAGUGGUGUUUUGGUUGAGGUUUGUUUAUGGCUCCUCAGACCACUGUGUAUUGCUAUCCUGCGGUCGUUACUAAAGUUGGUAUAACUAGAGAAGCAAGCGGUCGGCAACAUUCAUCUCUCAAGGGGGUGUCUAACUCGGUGUUACAGUGUGUUUGACCCUAAAUUAAUUUUAUGGCGGAAUAUCCCUUUAACU